UACGUAGGGUGCAAGCGUUAAUCGGAAUUACUGGGCGUAAAGCGUGCGCAGGCGGUUUGGUAAGACAGAUGUGAAAUCCCCGGGCUCAACCUGGGAAUUGCAUUUGUGACUGCCCGGCUAGAGUGUGUCAGAGGGGGGGUAGAAUUCCACGUGUAGCAGUGAAAUGCGUAGAGAUGUGGAGGAAUACCGAUGGCGAAGGCAGCCCCCCUGGGAUAACACUGACGCUCAUGCACGAAAGCGUGGGGAGCAAACAGG
rnacentral:rRNA from 1 species